UUGACCUCAAAUCAGGUAGGACUACCCGCUGAACUUAAGCAUAUCAAUAAGCGGAGGAAAAGAAACUAACAAGGAUUCCCCUAGUAACUGCGAGUGAAGCGGGAAAAGCUCAAAUUUAAAAUCUGGUAGCUUCGCUGCCCGAGUUGUAAUUUAGAGAAGUGUUACCCGUGCUGGACCGUGUACAAGUCUCCUGGAAUGGUGCGUCAUAGAGGGUGAGAAUCCCGUCUUUGACACGGACUCCCAGUACAUUGUGGUGCGCUCUCGAAGAGUCGAGUUGUUUGGGAAUGCAGCUCAAAAUGGGUGGUAAAUUCCAUCUAAAGCUAAAUAUUGGGGAGAGACCGAUAGCGAACAAGUACCGUGAGGGAAAGAUGAAAAGAACUUUGGAAAAAGAGUUAAACAGUACGUGAAAUUGCUGAAAGGGAAACGCUUGAAGUCAGUCGCGUUGUGCAGGAUUCAGCCUGGCUUUUGCUUGGUGCACUUCCUGUACGACGGGUCAGCAUCAGUUUCGACCGGUGGAUAAGGG
rnacentral:rRNA from 1 species